UACGGAGGGUGCAAACGUUGCUCGGAAUUAUUGGGCGUAAAGCGCACGUAGGCGGUCCAGCAAGUCGGGUGUGAAAGCCCUCGGCUUAACCGAGGAAGUGCAUUCGAAACUACUGGACUUGAAUACUGGAGAGGAUCGCGGAAUUCCCGGUGUAGAGGUGAAAUUCGUAGAUAUCAGGAGGAACACCAGUGGCGAAGGCGGCGAUCUGGACAGAUAUUGACGCUGAGGUGCGAAAGCGUGGGGAGCAAACAGG
rnacentral:rRNA from 1 species